GACGAACGCUGGCGGCGUGCUUAACACAUGCAAGUCGAACGAUGAAGCCCAGCUUGCUGGGUGGAUUAGUGGCGAACGGGUGAGUAACACGUGGGCAACCUGCCCCAAACUCUGGGAUAACUCCUCGAAAGAGGUGCUAAUACCGGAUACGAACUAGGUAGACAUCUGCACUAGUUGGAAAGUUUUUCGGUUUGGGAUGGGCCCGCGGCCUAUCAGCUUGUUGGUGAGGUAACGGCUCACCAAGGCUACGACGGGUAACCGGCCUGAGAGGGCGACCGGUCACACUGGGACUGAGACACGGCCCAGACUCCUACGGGAGGCAGCAGUGGGGAAUAUUGCGCAAUGGGCGAAAGCCUGACGCGGCGACGCCGCGUGAGGGAUGAAGGUCUUCGGAUCGUAAACCUCUUUCAGUAGGGACGAAGCGAAAGUGACGGUACCUAAAGAAGAAGCACCGGCUAACUACGUGCCAGCCGCCGCGGUAA
rnacentral:rRNA from 1 species